AUUGAACGCUAGCGGGAUGCUUUACACAUGCAAGUCGAACGAGUGGCGGACGGGUGAGUAAUAUAUCGGAAUGUGCCUAGUAGCGGGGGAUAACUACUCGAAAGAGUGGCUAAUACCGCAUACCAUCGGAGCGGCCGAUAUCGGAUUAGCUAGUAGGUGGGGUAAAGGCUCACCAAGGCAACGAUCCGUAGCUGGUCUGAGAGGACGACCAGCCACACUGGGACUGGUACACGGCCCAGACUCAGACGGGAGGCAGCAGUGGGGAAUUUUGGACAAUGGGGGCAACCCUGAUCCAGCCAUCCCGCGUGUAUGAGAAGGCCUUCGGGUUGUAAAGUACUUUUGGCAGGGAAGCGGUAUCUGCAGAAUAAGCACCGGCUAACUACGUGCCAGCAGCCGCGGUAAUUC
rnacentral:rRNA from 1 species